GGUUCGUGAGGGGUGGGGUGAAAGAGUUUGCGUAAACUGGGUUCGCAGAAUCUGUGUUCGCAGAAUCUGUUGUUGUUAACAAUGUUUAUCCAAGCUGUUCCUAAGGAAAUAUUCAAAAUGUCACGCCGACCUGGAAAAGGAACUGGGAGGUUGAUGGUCGGCCAGAUGCAGCUGGAGCUGGACAGAUAACACGGCCCAGCGCCAGGACUUUCCAAGUAGCCGAGAAAAACAUCUACACGUCCUUAUUUGGACAUGUGGAAAGAUUUUAGGUGGUGGUUAAAAGCAGGCCUUCACAGGCUGGGGUUUUCAGAGCGCUUCGCAGAGGGUCCGCUGGUAGCACACAGCGGACCUUUUCCGACCUCUCGGUUCUCUCUGCAGAGGAACAAGCAGGUGAAUUCGGUCUCUGCCUCUCUUGCUAUUACUCUUUUGUAAUCUUUAUCUGAUUGUUUUACUUUGUCAUGUAUAAUAAAUUUGUAUGCUAUUGAUUUAAACUUCAAAGUUGAGUUCUUGUGAAAUCUCUGUCGUGGUUGAAGAGAAUAGAAAUACACGACAGAAAUUGGCGUCACUCCAAGCAGGCAGGAAAAGCCGGGUCUGGAGCCGACAGGUGCCCGACUGCACUCAGCCCGAGACGACUCGUCACUGGUGGCCACAGAACUGAGCGCGAUGAGGGUAAAUCCGGAUCUGGACUCCUUUCCCACCAUCAGCAGAAGAACAGAAGGAGAAGAAGCGCCUGACCAACAACCAGAACAGGGUGGAAGCUCUGACACCACAGCAGCUGGAGGACACAGACCACAGCAUGGAGGCCUCACCGACUCACACAACGUCUGCAGCCAUCACGUUCUGGGCUCAUCAGAUGAACCAGCUACUACAAGCCCUGCACCCGCUUGAAAAGACUGUGUCUGAAGCUUCAGAGGCCGUCAUACAAGCAUGUGUGUCUGACAGACACCUGCUUAUGACAAUCAGCAAAGGAAAACAAGGACAGAGCAACAGCAGAGAAGACGUGCUCUGACACAGACACUGGUUCAAACAACAGGAGAGGCUUCAGACGUGAUCGGCCCAAUAGAGCUGCAUCUGAGGAUCCAGGAAAGGUCUGUCAUCGAGGAACAACUGUCCCAUUAAAAGGCUUCACCCACUGGCGCUCACAUCAGACUGAUGGUUGGGGAAGGAGGAAGGUGACGGUUCCUUUUCACGUGCCGUAGAAGACGGUACCGCAAACACACACACACAUUCAUACACGCAAUGAAGAAACACGCUUACAGCUGAUACACGCUCAAAUUCAUGUUCAUGCUUAUCUGCUCGCAAUGAAGAAUCGCUUUUUGCUCAAAAAAAAAUCCCAGAGUGAUUUUCAAAUUAUAACAAACAGCUAAAUGACAACUGCUGCAUGACUUUACAGUCUGAUGGGUUCAAACUAUUUUAACUUGCAACAAAUUCAGUAAUAAAAUCCUCCAUGUUUCUAAAAAGAUUUGUGCACAAUAUAGGUUUGUCUGGCCAGACUAGAAGACUAUAGGAAAACAAAACAGACUGUAGAAAAACAAAACAGACUAUAGGAA